UUAAAAACUAUAAAAGAGAAAAGUAGGUUAACGAUUCUUACAGUGAGCUGGCGGUAGUGAAAAGCUAGCAGACCCCCGUUAAGUUGAAAGACACUCUUUUACAAGGUUGCUUAUUUAAAAGAUAUGCCGUGUGCGCCACGUUACAGCGUUGAUAAAGUUGGUCUAAGUUUUUAUUAGACAAUUUGGGUGGUACCGCGGAAAAAAGCCUUUCGUCCUGAUU
rnacentral:ncRNA from 1 species